GCGAACCAUCCUCUCCGUGGCAACAAAAAGAUGCGGGUGUGACGAUAACAGCCACCAGAAACAAAGAAGAAUAAGAGCGAGCAGCAGUCGCGGCAGAGGCAGAGCAAGCCGGGUUCGCGGUGGAAACGAGAAACGUGCGGCGAAGGCUGUGCUUGGGCGGAGACUCCGGAAAACUAUAAGCGACCGACACCAUACCACACACCGUAGCGUGGGAACUGGGUGUUCAUCGGAGAAGAGGAGGAAGGCGUUGCGUUCGCCGGGGUGGGUGGUGGUGGACAAGGGGAGACGGCCUGGCAGGAGCAGGGCGGCUGGGGUCGUACCCCGCGAGCCGGCGGCGGAGGUUAGGGGCCAAGGUCAUGUCUUGGUGGCGCAGGAAGGUGGUCUUCCCCGUCAGGCGAGCUUGGCUCGCCGUCUCCUUCCGCGUCAAGUCUCGAAAACACGGUGGAGGAAUUCUCAAGCUCUACGAUGACGUGCAGAUGUGUGGAUACGAAGAUGUGCAGGUCAUGUGGGAGAUACUGACCAAGUCGGAGAUGGAGACAUCAAACGGGAUGCCGAAGCAGCGCAGGCGAUCGCUCUGGCGAGUCUCAUCUUGGUAUAGCAGAUCAACCGCCGCUUCUGCUCCCAUCCAAGCUUACGAGUGAAACAGUCAGUACCUGAGAGAUCAAACCAAGCAUAGAUUAGGAUUAGGAUUAGGAUUGGUUCUUCUUCCAUGAUUCCCAGUCUCAUAAGAUCACAAUUAAGGUAUUUGAUAGCUGUAUAGUUUGUCACAAACCUCGUGUACUUGCUGCUGCUGCUGCUGUUACAUGUGCAUACCAAACUCGGAAACCUCUCCCCUCCGUUGCAUGAGGUGGAAGAAGGGUUUUAUGGCUGUCA